UACGAAGGGGGCGAGCGUUGUUCGGAAUUACUGGGCGUAAAGGGCGCGCAGGCGGCUCUGAAAGUCAGAUGUGAAAGCCCCGGGCUUAACCUGGGAAUUGCAUUUGAUACUCUGGAGCUUGAGUACGGGAGAGGAGAGUGGAAUUCCCAGUGUAGAGGUGAAAUUCGUAGAUAUUGGGAAGAACACCGGUGGCGAAGGCGGCUCUCUGGACCGUAACUGACGCUGAGGCGCGAAAGCGUGGGGAGCGAACCGG
rnacentral:rRNA from 1 species